UAUAUAUAUAUAUAUAUAGUUUUCAUGUGAAGUUAUUGAUACAUACACACAUGUGGAAUUACUAACUGAAAUUCUAAUAUAUAUCUCCUGUUCAAUACACACACAUGGACAUACACAUAUAUGUAAAUGUUUGUUCUUAUGUCAAGUUUAUAAUAAAUACCAUUUUACAUUAAACUGCAGGUUAGCUCAGUACCGUUUCUUUUUCCAUGCUAGCAUUGAUUCAGGCAGAGAGCUAUUUGGGACAGGAUUUUGCAGACUGGUGCUCUUCCUGUUGCAAAUCCUUUUUUCGUUUUCAAAGAGAUUUCUUGAUUAAUCAGGUCUUCAAGAAUGCAGACUGACCAGUUGCAAUGUUAUCAAGGGAUUUGACAUUCACGCUGCUUUCCUCAAGGAAACACAGAUACUCGUACACACAUCUAGAUACAUACUUGUAUUUAUUUGUAUGUGUACAUACACACACACACAUACAUUAUCUCCAUAUCUCCAUAUUUUUAUUCAAUCUGUUCCUAAAAUAUGUUCAUUCACAGCAAUAAAGCCCCAUCUUCCCAUUGUAAGCACCAUGUAAGUCACCGUGGGUUACAGAGUAAUAUUUGUACUACAUAACUCACUAUGGGUUACAGAGUAAGGUUUGUGCUAUAUAACUCAUUGUGGGUUAGAGGCUAGUAUAUAACUCACUGUGGGUUAGAGGUUAGGUUUAAAAAUGGAGUAGAUAUCUUUUAUCUCUUCUUCCUAAUAAACAUUUGCUGCAACUGUU